rnacentral:rRNA from 1 species
UUGCUCUUCAACGAGGAAUGCCUAGUAAGCGUGAGUCAUCAGCUCGCGUUGAUUACGUCCCUGCCCUUUGUACACACCGCCCGUCGCUACUACCGAUUGAAUGGCUUAGUGAGGUCUUCGGAUUGGCUUCGAGGAACCGGCAACGGUACCUCUUUGCUGAGAAGUUGAUCAAACUUGGUCAUUUAGAGGAAGUAAAAGUCGUAACAAGGUUUCCGUAGGUGAACCUGCGGAAGGAUCAUUACUGAGGAACUCGCAUCGUUGUCGCUGGCCUUCGGGCAUGUGCACGCGUUGCAUUCUCAUCCACACACCUGUGAACUUAUCAGAGAGGGAUGGCGUUCGCGUCGUCUCUCUUUUUAUAUACAACUUUGUUAAUUCAGAACGUCGUAACAUUAAUAAAUGGAACAACUUUCAACAACGGAUCUCUUGGCUCUCGCAUCGAUGAAGAACGCAGCGAAUUGCGAUAAGUAAUGUGAAUUGCAGAAUUCAGUGAAUCAUCGAAUCUUUGAACGCACCUUGCACUCUCUGGUAUUCCGGAGAGUAUGCCUGUUCGAGUGUCGUGAAGUUCUCAAACUCUCAGCUUUGCGGCUGACCGUUUGGAGUUGGAGCCUGUCGGCGAGAGUCGACUGCUCUGAAAUGUAUUAGCCAUUACCACGAUCGGCUGAAGUGUAAUAAAUCUUUGUUCACUAAAGUUGAUUUACGGUGAAGGCUCAUAGAAACCCCUUUAUUCACCUUUGACCUCGAAUCAGGUAGGAUUACCCGCUGAACUUAAGCAUAUCAAUAAGCGGAGGA